rnacentral:rRNA from 1 species
UGGGGAAUAUUGCACAAUGGGCGCAAGCCUGAUGCAGCGACGCCGCGUGGGGGAUGACGGCCUUCGGGUUGUAAACUCCUUUCGCCAGGGACGAAGCGCAAGUGACGGUACCUGGAGAAGAAGCACCGGCCAACUACGUGCCAGCAGCCGCGGUAAUACGUAGGGUGCGAGCGUUGUCCGGAAUUACUGGGCGUAAAGAGCUCGUAGGCGGUUUGUCACGUCGUCUGUGAAAUCCUGCAACUCAAUUGUAGGCGUGCAGGCGAUACGGGCAGACUUGAGUACUACAGGGGAGACUGGAAUUCCUGGUGUAGCGGUGAAAUGCGCAGAUAUCAGGAGGAACACCGGUGGCGAAGGCGGGUCUCUGGGUAGUAACUGACGCUGAGGAGCGAAAGCGUGGGGAGCGAACAGG